GCUGUGAUGAAUUUGAAUCGACUGAUGAUGACCUGACAUGAUAAUGUGUUUUGUCCUCUAAGAAGUUCUGAGCUU
ensembl:snoRNA Snord61 small nucleolar RNA, C/D box 61